rnacentral:rRNA from 1 species
UACGUAGGGGGCAAGCGUUGUCCGGAUUUAUUGGGCGUAAAGAGCGUGUAGGCGGUUUGGUAGGUCCGUUGUGAAAACUCGAGGCUCAACCUCGAGACGCCGAUGGAAACCAUCAGACUAGAGUCCGGAAGAGGAGAGUGGAAUUCCUGGUGUAGCGGUGAAAUGCGCAGAUAUCAGGAAGAACACCCGUGGCUAAGGCGGCUCUCUGGGCAGUAACUGACGCUGAGGAGCGAAAGCGUGGGGAGCGAACAGG